ACGUCUGGCUGUCGCGCGCUAACCGAAUUUCAUCUGCCCCUGUUGGAGGACAUUAUAAAACACAUUUAUUGCGGGAAAAAUGAAGGAGAAGUCAAGUUGAGAUGGACGUGUAAAGAACUCCUGAUGUGUCUGCAUGUGAAUGUUCCACGGACGCUUCGGCUGAAAGGAAAAACGUGAGACACCAGGUUUGUUUGAGCAGGGUGGCCCCCACAUGUGGCGGAGUGAUGUUGUGGACCUGCGACUGGCCAUGAGAGAGGGUCGGCCCCCACGUGUGGCAUGCUUGGAUCUGCUCGGUUUGGCUUGGCAUGCUGUAGGACCAAGGCCCCGCUGAUGCUCCUGGAACGGCAGCUCUUCUGGUACCUGUGCCAGGCUGGUGGCAGUGCAGAAAGUUGGCCGGCAGUUGAAAGAGAAUGGGUGAGAAACCUCGAGUGGAGGA